rnacentral:lncRNA from 9 species
AUGGGCGCCCCGGGUCCAGGGCCCGCGGAGCCGCUCUCGGGGCGGAGACCUUGCCCCCAGGGGCACGUCAGCGGUCCUGAGGUGAGGCUCCUGCAGAGCACUCUGGGCCGCGUGUGUCUCUCCCUGCGUGGGCAGGCAGUGUCGGUGGCCGGAGCGAGGGUGUUUUCCCAUCGGGGUGAGAGGGAGAGCCCCAGGGUGGGCCUGGGGGCGGAAUCGGACUCGGGGUUGGGGUGGACUCUUCUGAAGCUGGGAGGGGUGCGGGUGGGCAGGGCCUUAGGGAGCCUGAGGGAGGCGCGGUUCCUGGGGGAAGGGUGUGGCGAGGCGGCGGCAGCCCGCGUGCGCUGUGGCGCCCCAGCGAAGGGGCAGUGCUGGCCACUCGUGUGGCCCUUUGGCUGCUGGCACCCAGUGAGAGGGGGGAGGCCAGGGACAGGUGGCAGCCAGGCUGCCCACAGGCCCUGGGCGGUGGGGGGCCCGGCCCCUGUGCCUUGGGCAGCCUGGCCCCUUGCUGAGGCGUGCUUGCGCGUGUCCGUUGUCGCCCUCACCCAGCUGCUGCGGCGGAGAGACGGAGGCCAGCGCGGGGAGCGGAAGCCGGAGCCUGUCGGGAGCGACCCCGGGAAGGCCAGUCCCUCCUGCCGGUGGGAGGCGUGUUGGCGUGCGGCCGGUGGCGGGAUCGAUGGCCACCUGGUAGGCGAUGCUGCUGCGGCGGAGAGACGGAGGCCAGCGCGGGGAGCGGAAGCCGGAGCCUGUCGGGAGCGACCCCGGGAAGGCCAGUCCCUCCUGCCGGAGGGAGGCGUGUUGGCGUGCGGCCGGUGGCGGGAUCGAUGGCCACCUGGUAGGCGAUGCUGCUGCGGCGGAGAGACGGAGGCCAGCGCGGGGAGCGGAAGCCGGAGCCUGUCGGGAGCGACCCCGGGAAGGCCAGUCCCUCCUGCCGGAGGGAGGCGUGUUGGCGUGCGGCCGGUGGCGGGAUCGAUGGCCACCUGGUAGGCGAUGCUGCUGCGGCGGAGAAACGGAGGCCAGCGCGGGGAGCGGAAGCCGGAGCCUGUCGGGAGCGACCCCGGGAAGGCCAGUCCCUCCUGCCGGAGGGAGGCGUGUUGGCGUGCGGCCGGUGGCGGGAUCGAUGGCCACCUGGUAGGCGAUGGUAAGCGGCAGUGGCCUGCGCCAAGGUA